GUGUCUGUAGCUUAAUGGUAGAGCUUUGGAUUGUGGCUCCAAAUUGUGUGGGUUCAACUCCCAUCAGACACCCCA
rnacentral:tRNA from 1 species